AUGGCAUAUAGGCCUCCAUUUCUCCCCCUGCCUCAUUGCGCAACUGUUGGUGGCGGGCUGGAGUGGGUGGUACCCGGAUCCAGGCACCUGGCAGUUCCAGGUGCGGGCCUCCAGUGGUCUAGCAGGUGUCAGAGGCCCCCGCCCCUGCCGCCCACCUCCUCAGGAAUUGGCUGCCCCGGUCCUGGGGGGGGCUGUCCCAGGGUCGGAAGGAAGUCGGGGGUCGCGGGCGCGGGCUGCGCGGGGUUUCAGUCACUCGUGGACAAAGCUCACCUCGCUCGCGUCGCGGCCCCGGGCGAAGUUCCCCGCCCCCUUCCCUUUCCUUCCACACCCGCACCCUCGCUCUUCCUUCGUGGCUUGCCCUCCCCCCGACUCCCGGGUCCAGCCCCUUCACGAGAGUGUGUGGCACGCCGGUCUCUGGGCUCGCGUGCGUGUGUCCCAGCAGCCCCGGGCAGUGGGCGAGGGCGCGGCCUGGGGACCCCGGAGGGGAAGGGGCCGGGGCGCCGGGACUGCGAGAAGCGAAGGCGGCUAGUCCCUCCUCUGCCCUUCCCUCUUACCCACCCCCACUUCUUCCUUCCUCUCUCCUCUUACAUUCUCCCCUCUCCUUCGGGCUCUGCUCGGCUCCAGGCAGGUAGAGCCCUCUCGGGGCGCGCCGGGCCGAAGCAGCUGAUCCCAACUUCGCCUCGGCCCGGCGCAGGGCCUCGUGCGCCCUUGCCGACUCUGCGCGGAGGCGGCGCCCCUGCAGGACGCGGAGCUGACCCUGGCCGGCAUCAACAGGCUGCUCAACAAGGACUUCAGGGAGUCGGAGCAGCUUUUCCAACAAUACAGAACAAGUUUGCCUUCUCCUGUGUUUUCCAGAAAUAAUGACGUCAGUAUCUGGAGCAUCCUCAGAAAAUGCAUUGGAAUGGCAGCAUGAGCUUCACCACUCGCUCCUCCUUUUCCACCAACUACCGGUCCGUGGGCUCCGAGCGGCAUGGGGGUCGGGGCCUGGCCGCGGGAAUGGCCAGGGGUCUGGCAGGAAUGCGAGGCAUCCAGAACGAGAAGGAGACCAUGUAAAUCCUGAACGACCACCUGGCCUCCUACCUGGACAGAGUCAGGAGCCUGGAGACCGAGAACCGGAAGCUGGAGAGCAAAAUCCGGGAGCACCUGGAGAAGAAGGGACCCCAGGUCAGAGACUGGGGCCAUUACUUCAAGACCAUCGAGGACCUGAGGGCUCAGAUCUUCUCAAAUACUGUGGACAAUGCCCGCAUCAUUCUGCAGAUUGACAGUGCUCGUCUUGCUGCUGAUGACUUUAGAGUCAAGUAUGAGACAGAGCUGGCCAUGCGCCAGUCUGUGGAGAGCGACAUCCAUAGUCUCCGCAAGGUCAUCGAUGACACCAAUGUCACUCGACUGCAGCUGGAGACAGAGAUGAGGCUCUCAAGGAGGAGCUGCUCUUCAUGAAGAACCAUGAAGAGGAAGUAAAUGGCCUACAAGCCCAGAUUGCCAGCUCUGGAUUGACCGUGGAGGUAGAUACCCCCAAAUCUCAGGACCUUGCUACGAUCACGGCAGAAAUCCAGGCUCAGUAUGACGAGCUGGCUCGGAAGAACCGAGAGGAGCUGGACAAGUACUGGACUCAGCUGAUUGAGGAGAGUACCACAAUAGUCACCACACAGUCCACUGAGGUUGAAACUGCUGGGAUGACACUCACAGAGCUGAGAUGUACAGUCCAGUCCUUGGAGAUUGACCUGGACUCCAUGAGAAAUACAAAGAUCAGCUUGGAGAUCCUGAGGGAGGUGGAGGCCCGCUAUGCCCUGCAGAUGGAGCAGCUCAACAGGAUCCUGCUACACCUGGAGUCAGAGCUGGCACAGACCCAGGUAGAGGGACAGCGCCAGGCCCAGGAGUACGAGGCUCUGUUGAAUACCAAGGUCAAGCUGGAGGCUGAGAUCGCCACCUACCGCUGCCUGCUGGAAGAUGGGGAGGACUUCAGUCUCAGUGAUGCCUUGAACAGCAGCAACUCCACGCAAACUAUCCAAAAGACGACCACCUGCCAGAUAGUGGAUGGCAAAGUGGUGUCUGAGACCAACGACACCAAAGUGCUGAGACAUUAGGCCAGCAGAAGCAGGUCAAUAAAAAGUUCAGAGGUCAAAAGAAAAAAAAAAAAAAUGCUGCAUCUGCAAUACCAGCUCUGCCUCUUACUAGACCAGGUAUCUGUUUCAAUUUUUGCUUGAUAUUUGACUCUGGUAUUUGUGUUCUGAUAAAAGGGAGAUGAUGCUGAUAUAUGUAGAUGGUUCUCUUGUGAAGUUAUUUUGCUUAAUACUGUGCCUGGCAUCCUCUGCAUAGUGUUAAUGGUUUGUAUUGCUGUUCUUAUUUUAGAUCAACAUAGUGGAGGAAAAACAAAUAGCAGCCUGCAAAACAGGUCCAAGUCAGAAGAGGACUGAAAGACAAGGUACAUGGCUGAGCCCUCAGGCAGGCUGUUGUGUGCUGAUGAGGAAGGGAUGCCAGACACUGUGACCCCAGAACAAGAGCCUAUGGAACACAAAACAUGCAGAGUUAUUCCAGGCCUGGAAAAAAACAUUUCCACUGACUUUCAUCCAUUGGUGGACACAGGUUGAUUCCAUGUCUUUGUUAUUGUGAAUCAUGCUGUCAUAAACAUGGUAAUGCAGGUAUCCCUUUGAUACACUGACUUCCUUUCCUUUGGAUACUCAGUAGUGGGAGUGCUGGAUUGUAUGGUAGUUAAGUUUUUUAAGAAAUCUCCAUACUGUUUUCCAUAAUGGCUGUUCUAAUUUAUUCUCACCACCAGUAUAUGAGCUUGCUUUUUUCUGCAUCCUCACCAGCAUAUUAUUUUUUCUUUUUAAUAACAGCCAUUCUAACUGGUACAGGAUGGUAUCUUCUGGUUUUUGUUCACAUUUCCCUCAUAAUUACUGAUGUUGAGAAUUUUCUUAUUUCUGUGUCAUCUUUGAGAAAUGUCUAUUCAUGUCUUUUGGAUUAUGUGUAGCAUGGUAUAUUAGAAAAAUCAGGGUCUUGAACAUUAAACCUAAAAUUUGCUGUCAGUUAUGAGGUUGGGCAAGUUAUUUAACUGCUUAGACAUUCAGCUUCUCAUGUGUGAAAUGCAGCUUUAAGAGUUUGAGGGGCAUUUACUCUGAACCAGGUCCCUUACAUACUGCUGUGGGUAUGCUGUAAAUGUUAAUCUCCUUAUUCUAAUUUAUUCCUUACUAUUCAAAAAAAUAAACUAGAGGAUAAACAGGUUAGACAAAGACAUUGUUUCAAACCACCCUAUUAUAAGACCCUGCUUCUGUCUAGGAGCUUGCUAGAUGCUGGUGGGAAAUCCAUAUCCUUUUACCUUUUUUGGAAUAUUAUUCUAUAGACCUGUUCCCUAAGUCUCACUUCAGCAUCACUUCAGCAGCUCUUUGGAAAUCCCUCGCUCACAGAAUGAAUUGCUGCAACAGAAAAAUACUGCAAGCUGGUGAAGAAACAGCCUGUAAUUUUGUCUUGUCCUUUUCUUUUAACAGGUGGGUCCAUCAAGGUCCUAAUCCCUGCAAUGGAGCACACGACUGGAUUUACUCUGGCAGCUACUGGGACAUUGUCUGCCAUUUAGUAAAGUGCAUACAGGUCAGGGUGUUUGACUAAUCUCUAA
rnacentral:lncRNA from 1 species